rnacentral:ncRNA from 1 species
ACACCGCGUAUAUCCGGUUUAUGAUAUACACUCCCCUGUUGGACUGGCCCGGGCUAAGCCCCGGGUCUUUUUU